rnacentral:rRNA from 1 species
UACGGGGGGGGCAAGCGUUGUUCGGAAUUACUGGGCGUAAAGGGCUCGUAGGCGGCCAACUAAGUCAGACGUGAAAUCCCCAGGCUCAACCUGGGAACUGCGUCUGAUACUGGAUGGCUUGAAUCCGGGAGAGGGAUGCAGAAUUCCAGGUGUAGCGGUGAAAUGCGUAGAUAUCUGGAGGAAUACCGGUGGCGAAGGCGGCUCACUGGACCGGUACUGACGCUGAGGCGCGAAAGCGUGGGGAGCAAACGGG